rnacentral:sRNA from 1 species
AAGAACGCAGCCGAGAACCUUCGCGCUGUCUAAUUCGUCUCGCUCCGUGACCGCGGAUGUACCGGCACGGAACGAUUGACGACGCAGAGAGGUCGGGCCACGCCCGGCCUUUUUUUGU